rnacentral:piRNA from 1 species
UCCGGCAAACAUUUCUACUCCCUGGU